rnacentral:RNase_P_RNA from 1 species
GUGGGUGGAAGCUCAUCAUAGAGGUGGUCACAUGCAGGGUGCUCAUCACUCAACCAAUCACCUUGGGGAAGGUCUGAGACAAGAGCCAAUCACUUCCCUAGCAGGGUAUCACCUGAUCUGGGCGAGUGAGUGCACAGAGAAUAUGAGCCAUUGUGAGUUGUCUUUACAGGAGAAACCAGCCAGUGCAGCUCUCCAGCACUACUGGUGGAUGUUAUCUCACUGGCUUGGAAACACUCAUGGCUGGCAUAUGAGUGCAAUGUGUGAGUUGGAGUACACCUCCAGAACCCAAUUCAGACUACUCUCUGCCCAC